GAUGAACGCUGGCGGCGUGCCUAAUACAUGCAAGUCGAGCGAACAGACGAGGAGCUUGCUCCUCUGACGUUAGCGGCGGACGGGUGAGUAACACGUGGAUAACCUACCUAUAAGACUGGGAUAACUUCGGGAAACCGGAGCUAAUACCGGAUAAUAUAUUGAACCGCAUGGUUCAAUAGUGAAAGACGGUUUUGCUGUCACUUAUAGAUGGAUCCGCGCCGCAUUAGCUAGUUGGUAAGGUAACGGCUUACCAAGACAACGAUGCGUAGCCGACCUGAGAGGGUGAUCGGCCACACUGGAACUGGGACACGGUCCAGACUCCUACGGGAGGCAGCAGUAGGGAAUCUUCCGCAAUGGGCGAAAGCCUGACGGAGCAACGCCGCGUGAGUGAUGAAGGUCUUCGGAUCGUAAAACUCUGUUAUUAGGGAAGAACAAAUGUGUAAGUAACUAUGUACGUCUUGACGGUACCUAAUCAGAAAGCCACGGCUAACUACGUG
rnacentral:rRNA from 1 species